AUUGAACGCUGGCGGCAUGCCUUACACAUGCAAGUCGAACGGUAACAGGUCUUCGGAUGCUGACGAGUGGCGAACGGGUGAGUAAUACAUCGGAACGCGCCCGAUCGUGGGGGAUAACGAAGCGAAAGCUUUGCUAAUACCGCAUAAGAUCUAAGGAUGAAAGCAGGGGACCGCAAGGCCUUGCGCGAACGGAGCGGCCGAUUGCAGAUUAGGUAGUUGGUGGGAUAAAAGCUUACCAAGCCGACGAUCUUUAGCUGGUCUGAGGGGACGACCAGCCACACUGGGCCUGAGACACGGCCCAGACUCCUACGGGAGGCAGCAGUGGGGAAUCUUGGACAAUGGGCGAAAGCCUGAUCCAGCCAUGCCGCGUGCAGGAUGAAGGCCUUCGGGUUGUAAACUGCUUUUGUACGGAACGAAAAGACUCUUUCUAAUAAAGAGGGUCCAUGACGGUACCGUAAGAAUAAGCACCGGCUAACUACGUGCCAGCAGCCGCCGUAACAC
rnacentral:rRNA from 1 species